AGAGUUUGAUCCUGGCUCAGGACAAACGCUGGCGGCGUGCGUAACACAUGCAAGUUGCGCGGGCGGACUUCGGUCCGUCAGCGGCGGACGGGUGAGUAACACGUGAGUCACCAACCCUCCAGUGGGGGAUACCCGGCGGAAACGCUGGUUAAUCCCGCAUACGGUUCUUCGGAACGAAAGCAGCAAUGCGCUGGUGGACG
rnacentral:rRNA from 1 species